rnacentral:piRNA from 1 species
AACAAGGAGGAGGCAGCAGAAUACGCUAA